AACGUACUCCCACCGUUCGGAAUUACUUGUCUCGGAUAUGGAUGUAUCUAAAACUAAAAUACAUCUAGAUACAUCCAUUUCUGCGACAAGUAAUUCCAAACGGAGAAAGUAGUUA
rfam:Triticum urartu cultivar G1812 contig458661, whole genome shotgun sequence.